GAUGAACGCUAGCGGAAGGCAUAAUACAUGCAAGUCGAACGGAUGUAGCAAUACAUUAGUGGCGCACGGGUGCGUAACGCGUAUGCAACCUACCUUCAUCAGGGGGAUAACUACCCGAAAGGGUGGCUAACACCGCAUAAUACUAUUGAGUGGCAUCAAUUGAUAUUUAAAUCUGAGGAGGAUGAAGAUGGGCAUGCGUCUGAUUAGCUAGUUGGUGUGGUAACGGCGCACCAAGGCGACGAUCAGUAGGGGGACUGAGAGGUUGGUCCCCCACACUGGCACUGAGAUACGGGACAGACUCCUACGGGAGGCAGCAGUAGGAAAUAUUGGUCAAUGGUGGGAACACUGAACCAGCCAUUCCGCGUGCAGGAAGAAGGGUCUCUGACUUGUAAACUGCUUUAGCAAGGGAAGAAAAAGCUCAUGCGUGAGAAAUUGACGGUACCUUGAGAAUAAGCACCGGCUAACUACGUGCCAGCCGCCGCAGUAACAC
rnacentral:rRNA from 1 species